rnacentral:tRNA from 1 species
GUCCCUGUAGCUCAGUUGGUAGAGCAUGGUGUUUGCAAUGCAUGGUGUUUGCAACGCCAGGGUUGUGGGUUCGAUUCCCACGGGGGGCC